CCGGUAAGUCGUCUCAGUUUGAGACGACGACGACCUGCUGCAGAAGCGCCCGAUGAAGUCGUACCAGCACGAAGAGCACGAAUCGAGGCCGUACAGAAUAUUCCGCGUAACCAGCGGAACAUACCCUUGAUCAUAUUAUCACCCGACGAUGAUUCGCAGGAAAUCGCAGCUUUUCGUGUACCCAGUCCAGCUGAAGAAGAAUAUCACGAUAUUUCGCCACGAG